AGGAUGAACGCUGGCGGAGUGCCUAACACAUGCAAGUCGAGCGGCAGCACGAAGAAUUUAUUCUUUGGUGGCGAGCGGCGGACGGCUGAGUAACGCGUGGGAACAUACCCCAAAGUGAGGGAUAAGCAUCGGAAACGGUGUCUAAUACCGCAUAUGAUCUUCGGAUUAAAGGAUUUAUCCGCUUUGGGAAUGGCCUGCGUACGAUUAGAUAGUUGGUGAGGUAAAGGCUCACCAAGUCUACGAUCGUUAACUGGUUUGAGAGGAUGAUCAGUCAGACUGGAACUGAGACACGGUCCAGACUCCUAGGGAGGCAGCAGUGAGGAAUCUUACACAAUGGACAAAGUCUGAUGGAGCAACUCCGCGUGCGAGGAUGGAAGGCCCGUCGGUCGUAAACGUGACUUUUAUGAGUAGAAGUAAUAGUAGAACGUAACU
rnacentral:rRNA from 1 species